rnacentral:rRNA from 1 species
CCUACGGGAGGCAGCAGUGGGGAAUAUUGGGCAAUGGAGGAAACUCUGACCCAGCGACGCCGCGUGCGGGAUGAAGGCCUUCGGGUUGUAAACCGCUUUCAGUAGGGAAGAAGCGAAAGUGACGGUACCUACAGAAGAAGCACCGGCUAACUAUGUGCCAGCAGCCGCGGUAAUACAUAGGGUGCAAGCGUUGUCCGGAAUUAUUGGGCGUAAAGAGCUCGUAGGUGGUUCGUCACGUCGGAUGUGAAAAUCUGGGGCUCAACCCCAGACCUGCAUUCGAUACGGGCGAUCUAGAGUGUGGUAGGGGAGACUGGAAUUCCUGGUGUAGCGGUGGAAUGCGCAGAUAUCAGGAGGAACACCAAUGGCGAAGGCAGGUCUCUGGGCCAUUACUGACACUGAGGAGCGAAAGCGUGGGGAGCGAACAGGAUUAGAUACCCUGGUAGUCCACGCCGUAAACGGUGGGCACUAGUUGUGGGAACCUUCCACGGUUUCUGCGACGCAGCUACGCAUAAGUAGCCCGCCGUCGGGAGGUACGAGCGCGAGAUAAACUACAAGAAGUAGACGGCGUGAGACGUGCCGACGGACGACGACGAGGGAGGAGG